GAAAAUUGUGCAUUCUUGUUGGGAUUAGAGAAUGCAGAAGUUGAGAGGGGCUUCGACCCGAAAGCUUAUACCGGUGUUUUUGCUAGCCUUUUCGGUGAGGGUCUCCUGCAUAUCCGACCGGGUUAGACUUUUCUUUACGUGUCUAUUUCUAGUUUUACCUGCCAUAUGCAUUCAUGCUAGGAGUGUAGCCCUAUGCAUUUAUUUCAUUUUGCUGGCUGUAUUUGUGGCUUAUGGUGUACAUAAAAUGAUAUAUGUUUUCUUGUCUUGCUAUUAUUUUUGACAUGAUAUAUGUCGUGAACUUAUCUUACUUAAUGAGUAAUCACUUAGAUAAUUAUUCUAGGGAAAAUAAUGGGUACAUGCUUGAUCACCUAGAUUAGGGCCCGUAUGCUGGCGAUCUAUGUGUGCAUAUGCACUUAUGCUACGAGUAUAUGACCCUUAAUGGCUACGACUUAUUCUACGAGUAUAUGGCCCGUAAUGGGUAUUCCCUCUGCUACGUGUUUACGGCCUUGAAUAGGUGCCGCCUCUGCUACGUGACUGCCCGGGAGUCGUCCAGCCUACGUAUGUCGGGAUCCCAACUAAAAUACAGAAUAAAUUAUUAGAGUUAUAGGAAGCUUUAUGUGUUACGUGAUGAGUUAUUUGUUAUGUGAUUAUCUGCAUCCUAGAUUGACUCAGGGCUAAAGACCCUCACUCAGUGAUUAGCAGCUGAUCAUCAUGUCAAGGAGGACUUCAUCGAUGGGCGACCGUGGCGAUGAUGUUAGGCAGAAUCAGAAGAAUGAGUGUUGAUCCUCACCAUUUAUUUAUGGGUUUUAAACUCGUUUUGUCUUUUACAUAUUUGCACCAUUUGCAUAAGUCAUGUGACAUUGUGUGUAUUUAAAGGGUGCAAGAUUGUCCUAUAAUGUGUAACGUCCAUGGAGGCGACGUAUUUGGUAACUCUAUUAGUAUUUGUGGGGUAUCAGAUUUUUCACCCGUUAUGUGUCUUUGUGGACUAAUGUUGUUGCAUUGAAAUACAGAAUGCUUAUGUUUUCUUAGACUA
rnacentral:lncRNA from 1 species